GCGCGCGCGCGCGCUCGGAUACGCGAAUGGAGCGGAGCGUGAAGCGCGCACACGGCUCUAGCACACAGCGCGAGGGCUUAUGGACGUUUCUGAAGUGUAAGGGGACUGCGGCUGUCUGCAGAAGAGGAGGGGAAACACGAACAUCACUGAUCCAUCUUGCAGGUACUUCUACAAACUGAUAAGACUGCAGGAAUCGUGGCCUGGCCAUUGCACAACACCACAGAAGAGAUGAAACGGUUGAUGACUGGCUGAUUUCUACUGUAGACUGGCAGAAAGAGGGCUGGGGCCAUUUGGUCAAAGGUAGUGAAGUACCUGUUGCUGUACAUCAAAGGGAAAUGAGUGGUAGAGGAGACCAAGUAGAGCACCACUGAACAGGAGUGUUUGGCAUUCAAGUAGGCUGUCCUUACGCCUCUGGCCCUACCUCCUGAGAUGGCUCUUUCCCCUAUGUUUUGUUCAUGCCACUUCAGUGGAACCACAUAAAAGAUGCCGAUGAU